UCUACCAAUGGAUCUGCUGCGUUCGUGAGUGGGUCAGCGCGUCGCCUACCUGGUUGGGUGCGACAAUGCACCAGGAGACCGCCUACCUCCAGCACGGGAGGGCGCUACAUUUGACGGAGGAGCGCGUCGACGGCCGUCGGCAUAUAGCACUGGCAGGGACGAAGCUAGGAUAAAAAAUUGAUGGGGUCAUGUAGAUGGCACUGGGUUCAUCCUUCUAUAAAUGUUAAUGAUUAGUA
rnacentral:lncRNA from 1 species